rnacentral:lncRNA from 1 species
UUGGAAAAGUAUAAACCUAAGGCAUCACCUUUACAGAAAAUAUCUUCCACGGAAACAUCUAAAGGCAAAAAUCCUUCAAAUUCAAAUUUAUCCAAUCAUUUCUUCUGCUUACUACCAUCCUAAAUCAUUUUUCUUUAGUAAGAUCUAUUAGUGUGAAGCUAUUAAGCUAUUAAUGUAUGUAUCAUAUUAAUGUAUUAAGACAUUAAGUGAGGAAGUAAAGUUGCAUUCACAGGCCUUGAACUUUUCCACAUCUCGAUUUUUACCCAUCAUCUCUGCAUAGUUCCCUAAGGCAGCCUUCAAAUGGUGAUGUUUCUUAUAAUCCAGAGUUCAGAAGUGGCUUCUCUUCAAUCUUUCUGUGGAAUUCUAAACCACGUGAUAAAGGAGCUGGUGGUGAGAAAUAAGGGAAGGCAGAGAUGAAAAGGAAUGGGCAGAAGCUUUUGGAGAGGAAUAACCACUGAGAUUGCCAUGAAGGAUUCAUUCUGACAUUCUUUUCAUGUAUUUAAGGCAAUCAAAAAAGAAUCCACAGCUAACCACGCCACAGAUCAGCCCUGGGGUUCAGAGGGAUCCUGACAGCUACUCCUCAAGAUCCUCUCUGUUGUGAUUCAUCCCCCCGGGGCCCUACAGUUUCUCCUUCCUGACUCUUACAUUUCUUUGGAUGGCAUCAUUAUUUACCUGUCUCCUCCCAUAGUUAGGUGCCAAGCACUGUGGAUUCUGCCUCUCAGUGUCCAGACACCCAUUUUCCUUCCCACUGUUCCUUCCCCAUGGAGAAGCCUGUGGCUGGCUGACAGCAGAGAGAGAUGCUCAACUUGGAGAAGGUGUUACCUGGGCCAGGUGGGGAAGGUUUGUUUGCAGAGCAAAGAAGUGAAGGAAGUAUUAACCCUUUGCAUGGCCUCCUGAGAAUCCGACAAGACGUAAAUAGCCAAGAAUAUCUGUGAAACUUCAUCACUGAGUUACAAUAUUUAUCACUGCAAGUGUGUUGUUCAUUGACACUAUAAAGCCAUGUGGAAUUAAGCAGCCUUGAAACACAAAAUGGAGAAAGGCUAAGAGCUGAGAAUUGUUGCCUUCAGGGAAAUACAAUCAAUGUCAAGCAAACAACCACCCCAAAAUGGUUAGCUUUAUCAGCAUUCAGGCCUACAGUGAACGCAAAUGUUCCAGAUCUGAGUUUCAAUUUUUAAAGAAUAAACAUAUGCAAAUGACCAUUAGUCUUAGUAGUUUUAGGGCUCAGAAUGAUCUUAUCUUGUUAACAUUCAGGGCAACUGCUUAUACCCAUUUGAAUGUCAUUUAGAGGGCUAGGAAAGACUGCUUCAACAUUUGAUGACUAAAUGGCAGGGCUCAGCCACAAUGCUCACUCCGAGAAAUGAGAAAUAGACACACCAGUAUGCUAGAUGCUGAUGCAGUUCAGGAAAUGCUACCCCAAAAUAUGGCCCCUCAGCAUACUGAGUAUUUUAAGCAGAAGGCAAUUAAGAAAACCACAAAAACAGAAAGGUCCCUCUGACCUUCUCCCACCCUCUCUCUCUUGAAGAUCCUCAUGUGACAGGUGACCUGCCAUAUAAUCAGAAGGAAGAAAUGUUACACAGAGAGGCUGAGAAGAAUCUGAGGACUUGCUAAGUUUUCCCCAGUUUAUUACCAUUAGAUCAUAUGCCUUUUUUGUUCAAUCAUACUUCUAUACAACUGUCCAUCAUUCAUUAAACCUAACCACAAAAGUAGUUUUCACUCGGUUUUUGAGUGAAGGCUCCUGUGUCACAUAAAACUUACAUUAAAUAAAUUUGUUCCACUUUU